rnacentral:snRNA from 1 species
GUGCUUGCUUCGGCAACACAUAUACUAAGAUUGGAACAAUACAAAGAAGAUUAGCAUGCCCCUUGCCCAAGGAUGACACGCAAAUUCAUGAAGCAUUCCACAUUUAA